GACGAACGCUGGCGGCGUGCUUAACACAUGCCAGUCGAACGGAAAGGCCCCUUUGGGGGUCCUCGAGUGGCGAACGGGUGAGUAACACGUGAGUAACCUGCCCUUGACUUCGGGAUAACUUCAGGAAACUGGGGCUAAUACCGGAUAGGAAUCCUUGCUGCAUGGUGGGGGUUGGAAAGCUUCGGCGGUUUUGGAUGGACUCGCGGCUUAUCAGCUUGUUGGUGGGGUAGUGGCUUACCAAGGCUUUGACGGGUAGCCGGCCUGAGAGGGCGACCGGCCACAUUGGGACUGAGAUACGGCCCAGACUCCUACGGGAGGCAGCAGUGGGGAAUAUUGCACAAUGGGCGGAAGCCUGAUGCAGCAACGCCGCGUGCGGGAUGACGGCCUUCGGGUUGGAAACCGCUUUCAGCAGGGGCGAAGCUUGUGGUGACGGUACCUGCAGAAGAAGCACCGGCUAACUACGUG
rnacentral:rRNA from 1 species